AACACCUGUUUUACUCCUGAACUCCACAAUCCAGCAGCGCUCCAGGAUUAGCACUUCAGAGGCUUCAGAACUCUUAUGUUUCAUUAAAAAAGCAG